AAGGUAACCUUGAAUUUGAUUUUCCCACAGUUCCUUUGAAGGCCCAAGAGUUCGGGUGUUUGAAGUUGUGGGGGGGGAGGUGUCCCAAACUAGAACACAGUGAUGAUUUAGGUGUGUUUACAAUACCUUUGUCCCACACCCUCUCAAAGGGCUGAAUUUACCCUUCAAAACAUUGGGAGAACAAGCUCGACACUUUCCCAGGGCAGGGUGCGUAAUGGCCUCGGAUGAAAAGUAAAGUUCAAAUGCCAAAUGAGCCGUUGGUGCUUUGUUUGUGUGGUUGAAGGAAAGAAUGGAUGCCCCGAAGACAAAACACAGCCUCCACUGGGGUGAUUCUGAAAUGGAGGCUCCUGGUGAAAUCAUCAACAAAGCAUGAGGAGAGCUAGAGCUGAAGAUGCUGUUGAGCUUCUAACGGCAAGGCUAAAAAACAUUUUUCAUUAUUUUUGUUGCUUUUUUUGGCUAUAGGGCUCAGAAACAAUAAACAUGAGUUUCUACAAAAACA